CAAACGACUCUCGGCAACGGAUAUCUCGGCUCACGCAUCGAUGAAGAACGUAGCAAAAUGCGAUACUUGGUGUGAAUUGCAGAAUCCCGUGAACCAUCGAGUUUUUGAACGCAGGUUGCGCCCAAAGCCAUUCGGCUGAGGGCACGUCUGCCUGGGCGUCACGC
rnacentral:rRNA from 1 species